AUUGAACGCUGGCGGCAGGCCUAACACAUGCAAGUCGAACGGUAACAGGAAGCAGCUUGCUGCUUCGCUGACGAGUGGCGGACGGGUGAGUAAUGUCUGGGAAGCUGCCUGAUGGAGGGGGAUAACUACUGGAAACGGUAGCUAAUACCGCAUAAUGUCGCAAGACCAAAGAGGGGGACCUUCGGGCCUCUUGCCAUCGGAUGUGCCCAGAUGGGAUUAGCUUGUUGGUGGGGUAACGGCUCACCAAGGCGACGAUCCCUAGCUGGUCUGAGAGGAUGACCAGCCACACUGGAACUGAGACACGGUCCAGACUCCUACGGGAGGCAGCAGUGGGGAAUAUUGCACAAUGGGCGCAAGCCUGAUGCAGCCAUGCCGCGUGUAUGAAGAAGGCCUUCGGGUUGUAAAGUACUUUCAGCGGGGAGGAAGGGAGUAAAGUUAAUACCUUUGCUCAUUGACGUUACCCGCAGAAGAAGCACCGGCGAACUCCGU
rnacentral:rRNA from 1 species